rnacentral:snoRNA from 1 species
AGGUAUUCAGGGAGGGUACGUAUGCUCUGUAACCAGGAACUCUCAACACUGUGACCAAAGAUUGAAGUCUCCCUAGGAGUCCCUAGUCAGUGACUCUUGUAAUUGCCUGAGGAUGUAACCAC